UCUCCGUAGGUGAACCUGCGGAGGGAUCAUUACCGAGUGCGCGCCCCCCGGGGCCGACCUCCAACCCAUUGUUAUCCGACCACGUUGCCUCGGGGGCGACCCUGCCGUUCGCGGCGUGGGGCCCCCGGAGCCCAUCAAACCCUGCGUAACUAAGUCGUCGGAGUUUAAACAAAUUAAACAAAACUUUCAACAACGGAUCUCUUGGUUCGGGCAUCGAUGAAGAACGCAGC
rnacentral:misc_RNA from 1 species